UAUGGAGCUUCAAACCCAACUACACCCCUAACUCUAUAGCCCCUCAACCACACUGGCCCCUGUAUAGUUGAUUUUAGGUUGGGGCGACCACGGAGUAAAACAAAACCUCCAUAAUGAACGGGCCUACCCCCUUAUCUAAGAACCACACCCCCUAAGAAUUAGAAUACUAACAUAAAAUGAUCCAUUAUUUGAUUAAUGAACCAAGUUACCCUAGGGAUAACAGCGCAAUCCAUUUCGAGAGCCCAUAUCGACAAAU
rnacentral:rRNA from 1 species